GGAUACAUACAUGUGAAUAAUUUAAAAUUAAUAUAAAGCUUUACAUUUGAAUAGAAUAUGGAUGCUGAGAAUAUGGAAAAAUCGUCCCAAAAGUAGCAUAUAAUUGAUGCAGUCCAACGCUUAGGUGUGGCUUACCAUUUCGAGAAAGAGAUAAAAGAGGCCUUGCAGAUUAUAUACCAUCAUCAUUGCAAUCAUAUUGAGAUUGAUGGUGAUAAUCUUUACACUACUGCUGUUCGAUUUCGCCUGCUAAGAGAGCAUGGUUUCGAUGUGCAUUGUAGUAUGGUUAUUAUAUUUAAUUCUUAUUUUGUAAUGGGCCAAUUUAUCUCGGCCCGAGACAAAGCAAAAUAAAUAGAAAAUAACAAAACCAAAAUAAAUUAAGACAGUCUGUUAAACAAGUCCAAAACAACAGGCCCAAAGUUACGUAGCCCAAUAAGGCCCAAAACAAACCCAACCCAAUAGUCCAAAGCUCAAACAAUUCUUAGGGAAACCCUAGGGUUUCCAAUCUUGUGACCGCAGCCCCCAGCACCCGUGCAUUCACAACCUCAACUGCCAUUGCCACGUGCUUCGUUCCUCCAGCUGGCUCCGUUCGUACCUGCAACAGACUAACAACCCACAACAAAUUGAUAGCAAAUAGAUCUAAGGAAAAAUUUCUUGCAUUUUCUUUAUUUCUUUAUUCGGCUAUAAAAGAAAACCAAAUGUAAUACUGUAGAGGAGAUUUUUGUGCAAUGGAAUACAGAGCAAUUUAAGCAAAAGAUUCUUUUCAAAGGUGAUCCUUAUUUUGAUUUUUACAUUUGAAGUAAAUUUAGCAUAAGAUCGUUUGCUUUUUUUUUUCUCUUUUUACUUUUUUUUAAACCUUUUUAAAAAAAAGGGAUAGGAGAAUACCUGUUUCGGGUAGCAUCGUCAAAGCCUCGGUUCCUUCGUCUAAGUUGCGCCUAAAGGGAAAUCCAAACCCUUCUUUACCGUUGUUGUGAAGUUUAUAAGCCAGAUCGUUGUGGUUCUAAGUGAGGUUGAAAGGGGGGAUGCUCGCGGCUGACUACCAUUUGCAGUGGUGGAAAUGGCCGAUCGCUUCUUAUGUUUUUGGGGGAAAAUAUUGUUUUUAUAUACAUGAGGAAACGACGUCGUUUGGGGCCUGUUUCAGUGGCCUCAAAACGACGUCGCAUAAGCUAUUCCCGAUGACCCGACCUAAACGGCCUUAGGAUCCGCCUAUUUUUGCGAUGAAAGGGUAUUUCGAAAUCAGUCCCUCCCUUCUGCGAUGUUACUCGAUUAGGUCUUUUACCUCUUUUAAUUUUGCCCAGAAAUUUUGUGUAAAUUUCAUUUUGAUCCGUGUUUAAACGUUGUGUUCAGGAACUUGGGAUAUUUACCUUUUUAGUCCUCGCAUGUUUGUGCGUGUUAUACUUUGGACCUUAUUUCUGUUUCAAUGGUUUAUUUUAUUUGUUAAUUAUCCAUUUUAAUUUGAUUUCAUUUCAAUUAAGUUUUUUAUAGUUCUUUUUUUUUCAAUUUAUUUAGCAUUCAUUUUAAAAAAAUAAUAAUUUAAAUAUACAUUUCGAAUUACUUUAAUAAUUUUGCCUUGUUUCAA
rnacentral:lncRNA from 1 species